UCUGUUUCUAGUCAGUUAGAUUAGAUAUUUUGAUAUAGACUGUUGUGAAUUGCUUACGACACAUUAAGAUUGAACCUGUAUCUUCAUUAUCAAGAGCACUGUUACUAUCGAGGAGAGAUUCUAAAAGAAGUAGAGUUGUAUCCAAGAGAGUCUGAGGCUUAAUGAUGGUUGCGAUCACCCAAUAGCAGAUCAUGACAAGGAUGGUAUGAUGAAUUGAAGGCUCCUGGUGAGAUGAAACUACUAUAGAGUGAACAUGUCUCACAGGAGAACUGUACAGUUUACUAAACGUACUGUACAGUCAAUCAAAAAUGACAGAG